CUCAGAUCUGGCUCUACGUUGUCCUCAUUGUACAUGCUGUGUGUAUUUGCCACGUACACAGCGCAUGCAAUGUGGACAUAAUGGAGCUCA